GACAGAGGUGCCGAGCGUUAGGCGGAAUCACUGGGCUUAAAGCGUGUGUAGGCGGAUCCGUAAGUACCUUGUGAAAUCCCUCGGCUUAACCGAGGAACUGCCCUCCAAACUGCUUGGCUUGAGUCCGGGAGAGGUGAGUGGAAUUCCCAGUGUAGCGGUGAAAUGCGUAGAUAUUGGGAGGAACACCAGUGGCGAAGGCGGCUCACUGGACCGGAACUGACGCUGAGGCACGAAAGCGUGGGGAGCAAACAGG
rnacentral:rRNA from 1 species